UACGACGACAAAGAAC
rnacentral:sRNA from 1 species